rnacentral:lncRNA from 12 species
UUAAUCCGUUUUAAGUGUUUUCAAUACUACAAAAAAAAAAACAAAAAACAAAGAUUCCUAACGAGAAUAAAUGAUAAAUGUUAUUUUUAAAAGGAAAAUAAUCACAGCCACCAGUGGGAAGAGAGUCAGUGGAUGGAUCCUGGGCAUGACCUUGCUCCUUAGUGACCCCAUGACCGUCCCCCUGGAGGUUUUCUGAUGCCUGUAAUUUCUACCCCAUCAUGAGGCCCUCUUCUGCUUUCCUGGUUCCCACGUAUGCAUUUACUAUAUAGUUGGAUUGUAGGUGAGUGAGGUGUUACUGUAUUUACUCAGUCUGAUAAUGUGUGGAAGCUCAAGUGAUAAUGGAAUGUACAGUUCUUGUAUCACUGAGCCUUGGAUUCCCAAGUCCAUUAACCUCUGGCCCCUUGUCUGCCAGGAUUCAACAAAGAAGUCAAAAGUUUAAUUCUGGAGUAGGAGAAAAUUGACUGUGCAAAUGUUAAGUUUUUCUAGGCAUUAAAAUGAAAGAUCAAAUACUGAUCCCAUUGUAUCCUGCCAUUGUUUUUUUCUGAGAAGAGGGUCAGUAGACUGUUUUCAAUGUG